GACUACAGCAACAUCUUGGUCCAUAUUAUGCCCCACCGCCAAUUAUUUUUAACCUUCCAAACAUAUCAAGCAGCUACUCAAGUACGUCAAAUACCCAAACUGAAAAAUAAUUUGUAUUGUAGAAGGUAACAUAAGAACUAAGGGCGAAGGCAAAGGUGUAUACAAGUCCCUUACUCUCCCAUAAAAUGGAAAAUUUCAGCUUUAAUCACUUUUAUGUUUAUAAAAUUUUAAAUAAAUACAUGAUAAAAUUAUAAUUUGACUCUUUUAGAAAUGAUAAACUUUUGAUUUAGUCUUUUUAAAAACUAUAAAUAUGUUUGUCAAUACAAUGGUAAACUUGCAUUUUAACUCUCAUAACAAUAAAUAACUUAAUCUCGGCCUAUUAAAAAAAAUUGUGGAUUCCCUUUUGCAAAAGAACAUAACCAAUAACAAAUAGAUACAUGAAAGCAAAAUCAAGAGGUCAGGACAAGAGUAAAAGCUAAUGAUGGACUCCUUUUGUAGCCUUUGUUAAACAAUUAGCCAUCCUAUCGCAUUCUCAAUGCAUAUGUGUAAUACCAAUAUCUCAAUAUCAAUGCAACAAGUCUCCAAUGGCAUGAAUGACAUACGAAUUUAGUUGUUGUAUCAUUAGAGUACCCUUAACAUGGUGCAAUGCGUCCUCCAAACAAUUUAUUUCUAACAACACAUCACAACGGCUAUGGAUUUUCCGAAACAACAAAGUAUAACAGAAAAAUUAUUAUACUCAAUGUCAAAAAACAAGAUGAAAAAACAAAGUAUAACAGUCAAAAUUUCAAACAAAAUCUCAUUGUCCAGCAGUACAAUUUUCAGUGUUUCAAACCACAUAUCAAACAUAAUACAGUUGGUGAAUCCGGUUGAAGACUACACACAUGAACAUGCCACAAUCCAAGGCAAAGGCAGGCAAAGAUAUGAAAAGUUCAAGAUUCAUACCUCAAACCAAACGCUAAGACCGAGAGAAAAAAUGAAGCAGUGGAUCACAAGAAUCAGCAGUGAAUUAAUCCUUCCAGACUGCAAGUCAAGCCGCUAACAGAGCAUGCAUGCCUGGAUCACAAGAAUC
rnacentral:lncRNA from 1 species